rnacentral:rRNA from 1 species
CCUACGGGCGGCAGCAGUGAGGAAUAUUGGUCAAUGGACGAGAGUCUGAACCAGCCAAGUAGCGUGAAGGAUGACUGCCCUAUGGGUUGUAAACUUCUUUUAUAUGGGAAUAAAACGUUCCACGUGUGGGAUUUUGUAUGUACCAUAUGAAUAAGGAUCGGCUAACUCCGUGCCAGCAGCCGCGGUAAUACGGAGGAUCCGAGCGUUAUCCGGAUUUAUUGGGUUUAAAGGGAGCGUAGGUGGAUUGUUAAGUCAGUUGUGAAAGUUUGCGGCUCAACCGUAAAAUUGCAGUUGAAACUGGCAGUCUUGAGUACAGUAGAGGUGGGCGGAAUUCGUGGUGUAGCGGUGAAAUGCUUAGAUAUCACGAAGAACUCCGAUUGCGAAGGCAGUUCACUGAACUGCAACUGACACUGAGGCUCGAAAGUGUGGGUAUCAAACAGGAUUAGAUACCCGAGUAGUC